rnacentral:rRNA from 1 species
UACGUAGGGUGCGAGCGUUAAUCGGAAUUACUGGGCGUAAAGCGUGCGCAGGCGGUUAUGUAAGACAGAUGUGAAAUGCCCGGGCUUAACCUGGGAACUGCAUUUGUGACUGCAUGGCUAGAGUGUGUCAGAGGGGGGUAGAAUUCCGCGUGUAGCAGUGAAAUGCGUAGAUAUGCGGAGGAACACCGAUGGCGAAGGCAAUCCCCUGGACCUGUACUGACGCUCAUGCACGAAAGCGUGGGGAGCAAACAGG